GUGCCAGCAGCCGCGGUAAUACGGAGGGUGCGAGCGUUAAUCGGAAUUACUGGGCGUAAAGCGCAUGCAGGUGGCUCAUUAAGUCAGAUGUGAAAGCCCGGGGGCUCAACCUCGGAACUGCAUUUGGAAACUGGUGAACUAGAGUACUGUAGAGGGGGGUAGAAUUUCAGGUGUAGCGGCGAAAUGCGUAGAGAUCUGAAGGAAUACCAGUGGCGAAGGCGGCCCCCUGGACAGAUACUGACACUCAGAUGCGAAAGCGUGGGGAGCAAACAGGAUUAGAUACCCUGGUAGUCC
rnacentral:rRNA from 1 species